AUAGUUUUUGGUUAAAAACAAACCAGAUGUUAAUCCGUGAGCUUCAGAGGUGGCGGUAGGUGGAUUUAGUUUCCUUUGGACAGAGUCAGGCUAGUUGCUUCCGCUUGUUUCCAGUCUUUGUGCUAAGCCAAGCAAACUGGCUGCUGGCUUUAGC